rnacentral:rRNA from 1 species
UACGAAGGGGGCGAGCGUUGUUCGGAUUUACUGGGCGUAAAGGGCGCGCAGGCGGCUAUCCAAGUCAGGCGUGAAAGCCCGGGGCUCAACCCCGGGUCGGCCGUGCGAACUGUCGAGCUGGAGCACUGUAGAGGCAGGUGGAAUUCCGGGUGUAGCGGUGAAAUGCGUAGAUAUCUGGAGGAACACCAAUUGCGAAGGCAGCUUACUACCCGAAUAUUGACACUGAGGCACGAAAGCGUGGGGAUCAAACAGG